CCUCCCCUCCGGCCGCUCCGAUCCCCUCGCCGUCCUCCAGCUCCAGCCCAACCCCGAGAGCGCUGGCGUCAAUCGGCCCCGCCGGCAUGGCCAUAUUCACACCGCAGCUUCCUUGCAUCCUGUGCGUCGUCGACCUCUCGUCGGAAAUCUACAACAUCGAUGGCAGGGACGCACCGCCGCUGCCUAAGGUCGUCCCUGCGUGCGCCACCCACACCCCGCGUGUAACGGCCGGGGCCUUCGCCGGCCACGGCAGUCUCCGCGCCCCGGCCUGGCUCGCCAUGCACUGUCUCCCCCUACGACCUGAGGGUAUGGUGCGUACGAGGUUGGGAUGGCUCCAAUGUUCUUCAUCGACGUCCACGGCUCCACGAGAUGACGAGACCAACCAGCAGAAGCAGGCAUCCAUGGAGGGAUUGAGCCGAGAGCGCUGCCUUUGUCGCUCUCUGGCUCUCCUGCCAAUCUCCGCUAUCCGGUGCCACUGUCUGACCCUCGGCAUCAGCAGGCUCUCUUUCCCUCCUCCGUUCUGUACAAAAAAAAUGACACAGCUGCUGGGGUUGUGGAUUUUUUUCUGAGCGGAUUGUGGAUCUUAUUAUAGAUUCAGCACUUGGAAGCUGAAGUAACACUACAGAAGUUCUCUACUUAAGUUUUGCUACUCCUUUACUCUUUCUAAUGCCCUUCCAUCUGGAGCAGUGCAAUUUAUUCAGUACACGACUUGUCAUCUUCUCCCUACGUAAAUCUUCAGCCUGGCCAUUCUAUUUUUGAAAUGAGUUACAGUAUCAUGGACUUGCAUAUUUAACCCCAUCGGUAACAUGUUGGAUUAUGGGAUUUUGCUUGCCUUCUGCGAGCAAACUUCAGAUGAAAAGCAGCCACAAAAUGCAUCAGAUUGUUGAUGGAGAUUGUACUGAAGAGAUAUGGUUUGCAUGAUCAACUUUCACUGUAUAAGAGCAUGCUUAUGGACGAUCUAGAUUCAGGUUGUGAAGCAGGA